GAGUUUGAUCAUGGCUCAGAACGUACGCUGGCGGCACGCCUAACACAUGCAAGUCGAACGCAGUAGCAAUACUGAGUGGCAAACGGGUGAGUAUAAUGUGGGAAUCUGCCUUUUGGUUCAGAAUAACACGGGGAAACUUGUGCUAAUACUGGAUAAGCCCUUACGGGGAAAGUUUUAACGCCGAAAGAUGAGCCUGCACUUGAUUAGCUAGUUGGUAAGGUAAAGGCUUACCAAGGCAAUGAUCAAUAGCUGUUCUUAGAGGAAGACCAGCCACAUUGGGACUGAGACACGGCCCAGACUCCUACGGGAGGCAGCAGUGGGGAAUCUUGCACAAUGGGGGAAACCCUGAUGCAGCGAUGCCGCGUGAGUGAAGAAGGCCUUUGGGUUGUAAAACUCUUUCGUCGGGGAAGAAAAUGACUGUACCCGAAUAAGAAGGUCCGGCUAACUUCGUGCCAGCAGCCGCGGUAAUACGAAGGGACCUAGCGUAGUUCGGAAUUACUGGGCUUAAAGAGCUCGUAGGUGGUUAAAAAAGUUGAUGGUGAAAUCCCAAGGCUCAACCUUGGAACUGCCAUCAAAACUUUUUAGCUAGAGUGUGAUAGAGGUAAGUGGAAUUUCUAGUGUAGAGGUGAAAUUCGUAGAUAUUAGAAAGAACACCAAAUGCGAAGGCAACUUACUGGGUCACUACUGACACUGAGGAGCGAAAGCAUGGGUAGCGAAGAGGAUUAGAUACCCUCGUAGUCCAUGCCGUAAACGAUGUGUGCUAGACGUUGGAAAUAUAUUUUUCAGUGUCGCAGCGAAAGCAUUAAGCACACCGCCUGGGGAGUACGACCGCAAGGUUAAAACUCAAAUGAAUUGACGGGGACC
rnacentral:rRNA from 1 species